GUGCCCAGCCCGCGGGGUAGGUCGGGAAGGCAGCCCGUGGCCCCAGAUCCAGAACCGUUGGAGUGCAGAGCUUCCAGGGACGUGGAGCCGCAAAGCCAGGCCUCCUUCUUGACUGCGCCUAGUUGGAACUGGCCCUCCAGCAACUUGAACGCAGCCUCUUUUCACACUGGUAGUUCCUGAGCCUCUUGUGAAAUGAAAGAUGUUCCUCAGUCCAAGCUGAGGACAGAGAAAAGCCGUAAAGCUGACACUGGAGUUAGAAUGACUUGCCGGCACCUUUGAGCAAGAACUUUCCUGGAGUCCAAAUGUAUGACUUGAAGGAUAGUGAGCAGACAGCACUAAAAGUCAUCCAUUCGUUAUGGAUUUAGUCAUAAGACCCUCAUUUGAGAGAUGCCUUCCCCAUACCUGGAGGAAAGAAACACCCUUAUCUCUGAAGACACAGGGCCACAGAGAAGAGUCUGAACAAACAGGCUUUA